rnacentral:rRNA from 1 species
AGUGAACGCUGGCGGUAGGCCUAACACAUGCAAGUCGAACGGCAGCACAGUACUAGCUUGCUCUUACGGGUGGCGAGUGGCGGACGGGUGCUGAAUACAUCGGAAUCUACUUUUUCGUGGGGGAUAACGUAGGGAAACUUACGCUAAUACCGCAUACGACCUACGGGUGAAAUCAUGGGAUCUUCGGACCUUGCGCGAUUGAAUGAGCCGAUGUCGGAUUAGCUAGUUGGCGGGGUAAAGGCCCACCAAGGCGACGAUCCGUAGCUGGUCUGAGAGGAUGAUCAGCCACACUGGAACUGAGACACGGUCCAGACUCCUACGGGAGGCAGCAGUGGGGAAUAUUGGACAAUGGGCGCAAGCCUGAUCCAGUCAUACCGCGUGGGUGAAGAAGGCCUUCGGGUUGUAAAGCACUUUUGUUGGGAAAGAAAAGCAGCAGGUUAAUACCCCGCUGUUCUGACGGUACCAAAAGAAUAAGCACCGGCUAACUUCGUG